UCUUUGCUAAUGCUCACAGAGGGCCUGGUCUGCAAUGUUCCAUAUCUACUCUCACUCUGCCAUGGGCUCCUGGACUCUCUGCUGUGUGUCCCUUUGUAUCCUGGUAGCGAAGCACACAGAUGCUGGAGUUAUCCAGUCACCCCGGCAUAAGGUGACAGAGAUGGGAAAAGAAGUGACUCUGAGAUGCGAACCAAUUUCAGGCCACAGCUCCCUUUUCUGGUACAGACAGACCAUGAUGCGGGGACUGGAGUUCCUGAUUUACUUUAACAACAAGUCUCCGAUAGAUGAUUCAGGGAUGCCCAAGGAUCGAUUCUCAGCUAAGAUGCCUGACGCAUCAUUCUCCACUCUGAAGAUCCAGCCCUCAGAACCCAGGGACUCGGCUGUGUACUUCUGUGCCAGCAGUUUAGCCACAGCGCUGCAGAAUCACCCCUUUCCUGUGCAGAAACCCUGGUGUUUCCCCUUCUCCUUCUACCUCCCAGCAGUCCUGGGCGAAGUCUUUUCUGUUCCUCCCUCCCCUGAGACAAAAUGGUUUUGGGGUGUGACAAAGACAGAAAAUGAGAAGGUAUCAACAUAGGAAUCCUUAGGUUGGUUUGAGGAUUACAAAAUGGGUUUUUAGGAUUCCUCAAAAAUUCUCUCUGCUCAGAACACAUAGGAGUAAGAUAAACCUUGGCUACCCACACUGGAGAUUUCCCUGCCUUCCUGCAUUUGCCAUCCCAUGAGAAUGGUGGGAGCUCCUGAGAAAGGUUGCAUUUUCUAAACUAUGAGGCCGUCUUCAUUCUCUCCUAAGUUGCAAACAGAAAUUUCCCUCACACAUUUUCUAGAUUGUAAAAGAAAGUUCGUUACUAUGAUUGUGGACAUUCCUUUAUAAUGCCAAUUUCAAAUUUACGUUUACUUAGGGAUUUUUCACUACUCCUAAAGAGUGUCUCAAAUGUGGCUAGAGCAAGCAGGUUGGUACAUUAGAUGUAAGUUAUCUGGCCUGGAAUCUAAGGAUCCAUUUGUCUCUAUUCUGCAUAAGAAGAGCCAGGUGCUGGCUAAAGGCUGUGCACAGUCAGACAGCACUAAUGAGGCCUCCUGGUGAGGACCCACACUGGGGUAU